AUUGAACGCUGGCGGCAUGCCUUACACAUGCAAGUCGAACGGUAACAGGUCUUCGGAUGCCGACGAGUGGCGAACGGGUGAGUAAUACAUCGGAACGUGCCUAGUAGUGGGGGAUAACUACUCGAAAGAGUGGCUAAUACCGCAUGAGAUCUACGGAUGAAAGCAGGGGAUCGCAAGACCUUGUGCUACUAGAGCGGCCGAUGGCAGAUUAGGUAGUUGGUGGGAUAAAAGCUUACCAAGCCGACGAUCUGUAGCUGGUCUGAGAGGAUGAUCCGCCACACUGGAACUGAGACACGGUCCAGACUCCUACGGGAGGCAGCAGUGGGGAAUUUUGGACAAUGGGCGCAAGCCUGAUCCAGCCAUGCCGCGUGCGGGAAGAAGGCCUUCGGGUUGUAAACCGCUUUUGGCAGGAACGAAACGGCGCAAGCUAAUACCUUGCGCUAAUGACGGUACCUGCAGAAUAAGCACCGGCUAACUACGUGCCAGCCGCCGCAGUAAGAC
rnacentral:rRNA from 1 species